UACGUAGGGGGCUAGCGUUGUCCGGAAUCAUUGGGCGUAAAGCGCGUGUAGGCGGCCCGGUAAGUCCGCUGUGAAAGUCCAGGGCUCAACCCUGGGAUGCCGGUGGAUACUGUCGGGCUCGAGUCCGGAAGAGGCGAGUGGAAUUCCUGGUGUAGCGGUGAAAUGCGCAGAUAUCAGGAGGAACACCAAUGGCGAAGGCAGCUCGCUGGGACGUGACUGACGCU
rnacentral:rRNA from 1 species